rnacentral:rRNA from 1 species
GGUUCGCCGCCGGCAACGUCGCGAGAAUUCCACUGAACCUUAUCAUUUAGAGGAAGGAGAAGUCGUAACAAGGUUUCCGUAGGUGAACCUGCGGAAGGAUCAUUG